AAAACAUCUUCUGAGUUUAAUAUCUUAGGUAAAGCCUGCUCACUGAUUUAAAGAGCCGCAGUAUCCUAACUGUGCUAAGGUAGCAUAAUCAUUAGUUACUUAAUUUGUAACUAGAAUGAACGGCCCGACAAAAGAAUAACUUUAUUAUUUUUUUUGUUAAAUUAAUCUAAGAAUAAAAAAGUUCUUAUAAAUUAGAAAGACGAUAAGACCCUAAAACCUUAUAUAUAAAUAUUUUACUGGGGUGGUAAUUUAUUCUCCAUAAGUUAAAAUAACAUUAUGAAUGAUAUUAUCUAUUUAAUUAAUUCAAAAAGGUACUUUAGGGAUAACAGCAUAAUUUUUAUUUAGAGUUCUUAUCGACAUAAGAGAUUAUGACCUCGAUGUUGAAUUGAUUUAACUAUUUUAGGCAGCCCUCAAAUUAGUAGGUCUGUUCGACCUUUAAAUGAUCACGUGAUC
rnacentral:rRNA from 1 species